rnacentral:piRNA from 1 species
UACACACAAUCCAUUGAAAAUGAAAUUUGA